GACGAACGCUGGCGGCGUGCUUAAUACAUGCAAGUCAACUGAACUUAGGGUAGUAAUACUCUAAGAGAGGUGGCGCACGGGUGAGUAACACGUAGGUAAUCUGCCUUUAGGUCUGACAUAACCUACCGAAAGGUAGGCUAACUUCAGAUGAUGCAGCGGCUCGACAUCGAGACAGUUGUUAAAUCUUCGGAGCCUAAAGAUGAGCCUGCGUCNGAUUAGGNGUUGGCGGAGUAAAAGCCCACAAGCCUGCGAUCAGUAGCUGGUCUGAGAGGA
rnacentral:rRNA from 1 species